rnacentral:rRNA from 1 species
GUGAGGAAUAUUCCGCAAUGGGGGAAACCCUGACGGAGCAAUGCCGCGUGCAGGAUGAAGGCCUUCGGGUCGUAAACUGCUUUUAUUUGAGAAGAAUAUGACGGUAACAAAUGAAUAAGGGUCGGCUAACUACGUGCCAGCAGCCGCGGUCAUACGUAGGACCCAAGCGUUAUCCGGAGUGACUGGGCGUAAAGAGUUGCGUAGGCGGCUCAUUAAGCAUUCAAUGAAAACUAUCGGCUCAACCGGUAGCCUAUUGAGUGAACUGAUGAGCUCGAGAGUAUCAGAGGUUACUGGAAUUUCUAGUGUAGCAGUGAAAUGCGUAGAUAUUAGAAGGAACACCAACGGCGUAGGCAGGUAACUAGGGUAUUUCUGACGCUAAGGCACGAAAGCGUGGGGAGCGAACCGGAUUAGAUACCCUGGUAGCCC